CCUACGGGCGGCAGCAGUGGGGGAUAUUGCACAAUGGGGGAAACCCUGAUGCAGCGACGCCGCGUGGGCGAAGAAGUAUUUCGGUAUGGAAAGCCCUAUCAGCAGGGAAGAAGAAAUGACGGUACCUGAGUAAGAAGCACCGGCUAAAUACGUGCCAGCAGCCGCUGUAAUACGUAGGGUGCAAGCGUUAUCCGGAUUUACUGGGUGUAAAGGGAGCGCAGGCGGCACGGCAAGCCUGAUGUGAAAGCCCGCGGCCCAACCGCGGGACUGCAUUGGGAACUACCGGGCUGGAGUGCCGGAGAGGUAGGCGGAAUUCCUAGUGUAGCGGUGAAAUGCGUAGAUAUUAGGAGGAACACCAGUGGCGAAGGCGGCCUACUGGACGGUGACUGACGCUGAGGCUCGAAAGCGUGGGGAGCGAACAGGAUUAGAUACCCCUGUAGUC
rnacentral:rRNA from 1 species